rnacentral:rRNA from 1 species
UUGACCUCGGAUCAGGUAGGGAUACCCGCUGAACUUAAGCAUAUCAAUAAGCGGAGGAAAAGAAACCAACAGGGAUUGCUCUAGUAACGGCGAGUGAAGCAGCAAUAGCUCAAAUUUGAAAUCUGGCGUCUUCGACGUCCGAGUUGUAAUUUGUAGAGGAUGCUUCUGAGUGGCCACCGACCUAAGUUCCUUGGAACAGGACGUCAUAGAGGGUGAGAAUCCCGUAUGCGGUCGGAAAGGCGCUCUAUACGUAGCUCCUUCGACGAGUCGAGUUGUUUGGGAAUGCAGCUCUAAAUGGGAGGUAAAUUUCUUCUAAAGCUAAAUAUUGGCCAGAGACCGAUAGCGCACAAGUAGAGUGAUCGAAAGAUGAAAAGCACUUUGGAAAGAGAGUUAAAAAGCACGUGAAAUUGUUAAAAGGGAAGGGAUUGCAACCAGACUUGCUCGCGGUGUUCCGCCGGUCUUCUGACCGGUCUACUCGCCGCGUUGCAGGCCAGCAUCGUCUGGUGCCGCUGGAUAAGACUUGAGGAAUGUAGCUCCCUCGGGAGUGUUAUAGCCUCUUGUGAUGCAGCGAGCGCCGGGCGAGGUCCGCGCUUCGGCUAGGAUGCUGGCGUAAUGGUCGUAAUCCGCCCGUCUUGAAACACGGACCAAGGAGUCUAACAUCUAUGCGAGUGUUCGGGUGUCAAACCCCUACGCGUAAUGAAAGUGAACGGAGGUGAGAACCGCAAGGUGCAUCAUCGACCGAUCCUGAUGUCUUCGGAUGGAUUUGAGUAAGAGCAUAGCUGUUGGGACCCGAAAGAUGGUGAACUAUGCCUGAAUAUGGUGAAGCCAGAGGAAACUCUGGUGGAGGCUCGCAGCGGUUCUGACGUGCAAAUCGAUCGUCAAAUUUGGGUAUAGGGGCGAAAGACUAAUCGAACCAUCUG